ACGGAAGGCAGCAGUGAGGAAUAUUGGUCAAUGGGUGAGAGCCUGAACCAGCCAAGUAGCGUGAGGGAUGACGGCCCUAUGGGUUGUAAACCUCUUUUGUCAGGGAAUAAAGUGCAGGACGUGUCCUGUUUUGUAUGUACCUGAAGAGUAAGGACCGGCUAAUUCCGUGCCAGCAGCCGCGGUAAUACGGAAGGUCCGGGCGUUAUCCGGAUUUAUUGGGUUUAAAGGGAGCGCAGGCCGCCUUUUAAGCAGGCUGUGAAAUGUAGGCGCUCAACGUCUGCACUGCAGCGGGAACUGGAAGGCUUGAGUACGCGGGAAGUAGGCGGAAUUCGUCGUGUAGCGGUGAAAUGCUUAGAUAUGACGAAGAACUCCGAUUGCGAAGGCAGCUUACUGUAGCGCAACUGACGCUAAAGCUCGAAAGUGCGGGUAUCGAACAGGAUUAGAUACCCUGGUA
rnacentral:rRNA from 1 species